GUGAGGAAUAUUGGUCAAUGGGCGGGAGCCUGAACCAGCCAAGUCGCGUGAAGGAAGAAGGAUCUAUGGUUCGUAAACUUCUUUUGCAGGGGAAUAAAGUGCGGGACGUGUCCUGUUUUGUAUGUACCCUGAGAAUAAGGAUCGGCUAACUCCGUGCCAGCAGCCGCGGUAAUACGGAGGAUCCGAGCGUUAUCCGGAUUUAUUGGGUUUAAAGGGUGCGUAGGUGGUUUGAUAAGUCAGCGGUGAAAGUUUGCAGCUUAACUGUAAAAAUGCCGUUGAAGCUGUCGGACUUGAGUGUAAAUGAGGUAGGCGGAAUGCGUGGUGUAGCGGUGAAAUGCAUAGAUAUCACGCAGAACUCCGAUUGCGAAGGCAGCUUACUAAGCUACAACUGACACUGAAGCACGAAAGCGUGGGGAUCAAACAGGAUUAGAUACCCGUGUAGUCC
rnacentral:rRNA from 1 species